AAUUAGAAACUUGGACUGCGCCCAAUAGACUCAAAUACAUAGACAGCACAGCUCCAAUGGCAAUAAUGCCUUUCAUUGCUUGCCUCUUGAAUCUUGACGAGGAUGAGCUAUACAAUAAUAUCACAGGCCAUCGGAAUUUGGACCAACCUUUCCAGUUCUCCACGAAACGUUUGAACUUCCAAUUCUUUGUCCACAGAAAACAGCAGUUGAAAAGCGCCAAGCAAUUUCUUUUAGUAUAAAACGCUGCUGCUUUGAACCAAACACACCGUUUCCCAUUAUCUUCCUCUCUCUACUGGUACGAUCUUUCAUCUGCCUCGCAGGGCCUUAUUUGCAGAAAAGUAAAAAAAUUUGUUCUUUCUCUUUUGGACACAGUGGCUGUAUUGUGUAUAGUGACCAAAAAAAAGCUAUCUGAUACGGAGUCGGGUUCUUUAUUACUUUUCUUCUUUAAUUAAUAAAAAUGAAUGGAUAGAUAAGCCAAACGCCUCUGCUUUAAUCUUAUAAAGGCCUUUGCUUUUUCACAUUGCCUGCCAUUUCUUUCUCUUCCAUGCCAAAUUGUGACAAGCUUUUGUUGAAAGUGGAAAAUAGUGACUUGCUUUAGUUAAUUUUGGCGAGUUUCUGUUUGGUUUUUGGACAGAAGUGGCUCGCAGUUCUCCGGGAGGAGCUGAUAUGGAUCUCUGUAACGUGGUUAACGAAAAUGCGAAUACGCUGUCUAUACCAGAGCUGAUCGCGUCUUUGAAAUCAGCGUUUCAAAAUAAAUACUUAUCAGAAGUGGAAGCAGUUUUGACUUCUAGAGAAGAAAAACUGACUCGCGAAAUUGAAACCAGGAUAAAAGAGAUCGAUUUGCUUAAGGAAAAGCAUGAAUUGCUUGAAGUAAAAUGUGGAAAUGAAAUAUCUGAAAAAGUAAGGGCAGAGAGGGAACUUGAGGAAUGCAAGAGAGUUUGCUUCGAGCUAAAGGAGUCAAAUUCUCGGCUAACUGAAGAGCGAAAUGAGUUCAACGAUAGAUUAACUGGUAUUGCUCACGAUAAGAAAAUUAUUAUUGAGCUCAAGAGAAAGAACUGUGAGUUGGAGUGUGCGAAAUUGAGGGCUGAGGCUGAAAUUGAAGUUUAUAAGAAGAGAUUCGAGGAAUUAGAGAUCCGUGUUGUUAGGUUACAGAAAGAUUUGAUGCUGUUGAAUGGUGUCGAGCCAUUGGGUUCAACUAGUGCUCGGCUUUCUAGGAAAGUUUUGCGAUAUAAAGAUUCAGGUGAAAGUCAUAAAAGUUGUGAAAGAGAUAAUAAUGUGAAAAUUGAAGUGGAUGCUAAAGAAAACGUGCAUUUGGAAAGAGACAAUAGUCCUAUUUUACGUGGUGGAGGUUUGGGUAUUGCAGGGGAGAAAGAGAUCAUUGGAAGCGAGGAAGUUGAGAGUGGACCAAAUGUUGGAAAGAAAAAUGAAAUGCUUGUGAAGAAAGUGCAUGAGAUUGGCUCUGAUGUGAAUGUCAAUUUGAGGAAAAAUGCUGGCCCUGGUCGUCGACCAACAGAGAAUGUAGAUAAACUCAUGGGUACUACAGGCAGUGGAAGACCUUUACCAGAAAAAGUUAUUAUUAUCUUAGAUAGUGAUGAUGAUUUUGCUCCACGUGAUGUUUCAAGUCUAAGAGAGAUGGCUACCCCAGUAUCAAAUGUGCAUUCACGGCAAGCAAUUAUUGAAAAUGGGACUGAAAAAAUGUUAUCAGUGGACAACGUGCAACCUGGGAAAGCAGUUAUUGAAAAUGGGAUUGAAAAAGUGCUGAAAAGAAAAAGGGCUUCAUUUCAGGGUAUACCUAUAAAGGAUGAGGAAGAUACUUCCAGUUCCCCUGACUCAGAAGAGGAACUGGAUUUUUCUAGCAUUAUGGGGAUGUUGCAAAAAAGGCAUGUAAAUAGAUCCCAUACAAAGUGGGAGUCUGAAGUACAAAUGAUUAAUGAAUUUUGCAAAAAUGGAGAACUUUGCAUGGAGGCUGUUUGUGCUCUGUAUAGGCAACAGAAGCAAUCCUCUGCAAGAAAAUCAUUUUCUGGAUCUUCAACUUCUCAAACUAUCAGUUUUAACAAAUUAGCUGAAAAAAGAAUCUCUCGGCUCUGAAUGCUAUGAAUUAGAGGCUGAAUGAAGAGAAAGGGCUGGGAAAUUGUCCAGUUUUUAGCAUUAAAUGAUAAAGCAAAUUGGGAAAUCUGACCAGACUAUAUUAUUAUCAUCAAAGAUCUUUGUUUACUUUCAAAUACUCUCCCAAGCAUGUGAUUUAUACUUCUAGAUGGUGUUUGUGACAAAAAUGUUCGCAAGAUAAGCAUUAGAAACUUUUCAGCACGCCAAAAUGAGGGGAGGAGAAAAGCUAGCUAGGAAGGAGGAACUUACUAAGACAGAGUUUUCUUAUGCUCAUGUCUUUCUAGUUUCUUCCUUUGCCGGGAAGGUCUCAAGCAAAACAUGAAGAUCUCCGCUUAUCAUUUUGUUUCAAAUAGGUGUAUUACUUUGGCAGAGUUUCUCAUUGAUGGUAAUCCACGAGGGAAGUUGAAGAAAUCAAAAGCAGAGUUGAUGGCACAUGAUCCAAAGGGCCUUGAUGACUGCUUAAGAAUUGCAAUGGAGCACUCUCGGCGGUUGUUC